GACUCUUGCUUGAUGA
rnacentral:sRNA from 1 species